UGCUCUCUACGCGGCAGGUGAUAUCUAAACGCCCACGCGGAAUAAUUUUACAUCCGGGGUUCUUUUUCAGUGAUGAUGUGUGCCAGCCCUCCUCUGCAGAGGGACGCCUGAUUCGUCGCUCAGGAACCCCACCUAAUGGCUCUCGUUGUGAGGCCAAAGAUUCACGGCAGGCGUGGAGAGCUC
rfam:Desulfuromonas acetoxidans DSM 684 ctg61, whole genome shotgun sequence.